rnacentral:tRNA from 2 species
GCCGCAAUAGCUCAGUUGGUAGAGCGUUUCACUCGUAAUGAAAAGGUUUCGCGGGUUCGAGUCCCGCUUGCGGCU